GUGGGUGUAGCUCAGCUGGUUAGAGCGCGUCCCUGUGGAGGAUGAGGUCGGCGGUUCGAUCCCGCUCACCCACCCA
rnacentral:tRNA from 2 species